GCGAGAGUGGCGGAAUUGGCAGACGCGCACGUUUGAGGGGCGUGUGGAUUUCUCCGUACGGGUUCAAGUCCCGUUUCUCGCA
rnacentral:tRNA from 1 species